GGGGCCGAGGCGGCGGGGCGGGCAGGAGCGGGCACCGGCGCGGCUCCGCUCGGCUCCUCUCCGGCUCCCGCCGGGCCCGUCGGCGCCGGCCGGCCCCGGCGCGGCAGGGCACGAUGGCGCCCGGGCUGGGGCCGUGGCUCCUGGCCUUGUGGCUGGCCGCGGGGCCGGCAGGGGUGUGGGCGCAGGUGAGGCUGCUGGAGUCCGGCGGAGGGCUGCGAGCGCCCGGGGGCUCCGUGCGCCUCUCCUGCCGCGGGUCCGGAUUCGACUUCGGGAGCUAUGAAGUGCUGUGGUACCGUCAGGCUCCCGGUGGCAGUCUCGAGUGGGUGUCCUACAUCAGCAAACCCUCGGGUACUACAAAGAAAUAUGGGACAUCAAUACAAGGUCGAGCCACGGCGUCCCGGGACAAUUCCCGGUCCGAGUCAUCUCUGUCCCUGGAUGCUCUGAACCCCCGGGACUCUGCCUGCUACUUCUGUGCCGUUCGCACGGAGACAGGAAAUCCAGCAGAGCUUUAACACAAACCCCCCACCAGGGUUGCUCUGGGCCUCGAAACUGGAAGGCAGCGGAGCCCCAUAGGCGUUAAGAUGUGCUCUCAGAGAGUCAUGUAGUUACAGCACAGAGCUUUCAAAUGUUUCUUUCUGAAAAGGAGAUUUUACCAGGUUCUGUUCACAAAGCUCUACCCCUUCUGCUUGCCUGCUUCCCCUGCCUGAUGCCAGUCCGCACUCCUUUCACUUGAAAUCUGCUUUGGCUUUGGAAGCACAUUUCGGUGUUUCCAUUGUUUCCCAGUAGUGGUGAUGGCCAGUCCUGGCCCAACUGGUGAGCUGUAUAAAUAGCCCUGCUCUGGUUUUGGUCAUGGCUGAGGUCGACUCAGUCCAGCCCACAGAGUUUUAGUCCCUGAGGAGCGAGCAGGGGAAAUGAGGAAAGUACAGAGGAGCAUUUGGGAGCUCAUUGGGAAACAGAGCAACUCUGUUGUUCUCUCCCGACUCUGAGAGUAUAACGGGAGCAGGAGCUUGUGAGCAUGUGUGAGCAUGGUAAGCACCAUUCACCCACUAGGCCCUCAGCACCAUGGGGGAGAGAAUCACAAGGACAACAGCAAGAAAACCCAAGAGUUGCGAUAAAGACAGUUUAAUAGGUAAAGCGAAGCUGCGUGCGCAGGCCAAGCAAAACAAGGAAUUAAUUUCCUACUUCCCAUCGGCAGGCAGGCGUUUAGCCCCUUCCAGGAAAGCAGGGCUUCAUCACACAUAACAGUUACCUGGGAGGAGAAAUGCCGUAAAUGUGAAUGCCUCCCCACUGCCGCCUUCUUUACCCAGCUUUUAUUGCGCUCAUGAUGAUAUCAGAAAGUAAAUGGAAUUUUCCACUAAGCAGUAACAAUGAACCAUGUGAGCUUGGCAAAUCAGAACUGGGCGGCCAGAGAAGGGAGUUGAGAGAUAGGGAAGGAUUUGUUUUACGACCAUAUCCCUGAAGAAGACCUGAGAGACUGAUAAAAGGGAACAUCCUGCCUCAGAAGACACUGAAAGCUGGGUGAUAAAGUCUAUAGUCAAGACGAGCACCUAACUGGGAUGUUGGUAAGAACUGAAACUAGGUGUCCUUUAGGUGAACUAUCUUCAUGAUAAUACUAAAAAUCACGCCCAUAGGCCAGAAAAACCCCCACUCAAAUAAGCCCCUUACCAUGCAUGCUCAGGGAGUAAAUUUAAAGGGAGCUGUACCUUUAAGAUGAAGUGAGAGAGAAGCUAACCAGUGAUCAUCUGGAGGGGCAGCGUGUUUGUGUGAAUAUUAGCUGUUACUGACACACUUAACUGUAUGGAUACCUUGUAGUUUCUUAUGCAGGGUGCUGGCUUUGUGGGUUACCACCUAGCACCCAUCUUUGCACAAAGUGAAUUGAAUAAAAUACCUCUGCGCUGUGUGUACUUUGGCAUUUUGCACACUAGACACAUGGACCCGCUUUUUGGGAUAACAGUUUUAGCGAUCCAGAUGGGGCUGCGCUGACAGCCUUGCCUGGAUCGUCUCGCUCUGCCCAAUGAUGGGAAGUGGACUGAUGUGACUCCAGCACGCACUGACCUUUUGAUCAGGGACUCCAUCGGCUCCGCUCCUGCAGUCAGGCAGUGGUUGACACAAUGGUGCAAUGCUUAUCAGAGGAGGUAUUUUAAUGGGAAAAGGUGGGUAGAGUGAGACCUUUUAAGGAAGCAAUAGGAGGUUAUUUUGUAGUUGCUCUGCAUAAGGCACUUCAGGAGAAUUAUGCAGAAGCAGCAUGGUUUCAUUUCUACACAUUGUAUUUGUGUGUGUACCACAGGGAAAAACCCUCAUUUUGC